CGUAGUAGAGUAAAAGUAAAAGUUGUCCAAAAUAUUAAUAGUAAAGUAAAGUACAGAUAUCCCAAAAAACUACUUAAGAAGUACUUUAUUUUUUACUAAAGUACUUUACACCACUUGCCAUCGGGUUCUUGGUCACCUCCCUGACCAAGGCCCUUCUCCCCAGAUUGCUCAGUUUGGCAGAGGCGGUCAGCUCUAGGAAGAGUCUUGGUGGUUCCCAACUUCUUCCAUUUAAGAAUGAUGGAAGCCACUGUCAACUGUGUGACCUCGCAUAGACAGGCGUGUGCCUUUCCAAAUCAUGUCUAAUCAAUUAAACUUACCACAGGUGGACUACAAUCAAGUUCUAGAAACAUCUCAAGGAUGAUCAAUGGAAACAGGAUGCACCUGAGCUCAAUUGAGUCUCAUAGCAAAGUGUCUGAAUACUUAAGUGAAUAAUAUAUUUUUUAUUUUGAAAAAUCUGUUUUUGCUUUGUCAUUAUGAGGUAUUGUGUUUAGAUUGUUUAGGAUUAAAAAAAGGUCAUCCAGAAUAAGGCUGUAACGUAACAAAAUGUGGAAAAAGUCAAGGGGUCUGAAUACUUUCCGAAGGCACAGUAUCUCUUUCUAUUACUUGUGGGAAUACUUUGGAACCAAUUUCCUGGUAUUUUACAGUCUUCAAUGUCCAAGAAUAUAUUUUAGCAAUUAUAUGAAAUCACUGCCAGUUGGGAUACCCUGAAUUAGUGUCUAAGUGUGUAUAGACUUACAGUAGGUACCCUGAAGUAGUGUCUAAGUGUGUAUAGACUUACAGUAGGUACCCUGAAGUAGUGUCUAAGUGUGUAUAGAGGUAUGUAUAGACUUACAGUAGGUAUCCUGAAGUAUUGUCUAAGUGUGUAUAGACUUACAGUAGGUACCCUGAAGUAGUGUCUAAGUGUGUAUAGACUUACAGUAGGUACCCUGAAGUAGUGUCUAAGUGUGUAUAGAAGUAUGUAUAGACUUACAGUAGGUACCCUGAAGUAUUGUCUAAGUGUGUAUAGACUUACAGUAGGUACCCUGAAGUAGUGUCUAAGUGUGUAUAGAAGUAUGUAUAGACUUACAGUAGGUACCCUGAAGUAUUGUCUAAGUGUGUAUAGACUUACAGUAGGUACCCUGAAGUAGUGUCUAAGUGUGUAUAGACUUACAGUAGGUACCCUGAAGUAGUGUCUAAGUGUGUAUAGAAGUAUGUAUAGACUUACAGUAGGUACCCUGAAGUAUUGUCUAAGUGUGUAUAGACUUACAGUAGGUACCCUGAAGUAGUGUCUAAGUGUGUAUAGAAGUAUGUAUAGACUUACAGUAGGUACCCUGAAGUAUUGUCUAAGUGUGUAUAGACUUACAGUAGGUACCCUGAAGUAGUGUCUAAGUGUGUAUAGACUUACAGUAGGUACCCUGAAGUAGUGUCUAAGUGUGUAUAGAAGUAUGUAUAGACUUACAGUAGGUACCCUGAAGUAUUGUCUAAGUGUGUAUAGACUUACAGUAGGUACCCUGAAGUAGUGUCUAAGUGUGUAUAGAAGUAUGUAUAGACUUACAGUAGGUACCCUGAAGUAUUGUCUAAGUGUGUAUAGACUUACAGUAGGUACCCUGAAGUAGUGUCUAAGUGUGUAUAGAAGUAUGUAUAGACUUACAGUAGGUACCCUGAAGUAUUGUCUAAGUGUGUAUAGACUUACAGUAGGUACCCUGAAGUAGUGUCUAAGUGUGUAUAGACUUACAGUAGGUACCCUGAAGUAGUGUCUAAGUGUGUAUAGAAGUAUGUAUAGACUUACAGUAGGUACCCUGAAGUAUUGUCUAAGUGUGUAUAGACUUACAGUAGGUACCCUGAAGUAGUGUCUAAGUGUGUAUAGACUUACAGUAGGUACCCUGAAGUAGUGUCUAAGUGUGUAUAGAAGUAUGUAUAGACUUACAGUAGGUACCCUGAAGUAUUGUCUAAGUGUGUAUAGACUUACAGUAGGUACCCUGAAGUAGUGUCUAAGUGUGUAUAGACUUACAGUAGGUACCCUGAAGUAGUGUCUAAGUGUGUAUAGAAGUAUGUAUAGACUUACAGUAGGUACCCUGAAGUAUUGUCUAAGUGUGUAUAGACUUACAGUAGGUACCCUGAAGUAGUGUCUAAGUGUGUAUAGACUUACAGUAGGUACCCUGAAGUAGUGUCUAAGUGUGUAUAGAAGUAUGUAUAGACUUACAGUAGGUAUCCUGAAGUAGUGUCUAAGUGUGUAUAGAAGUAUGUAUAG